rnacentral:rRNA from 1 species
CGGGGUGCAGCAGGCGCGAAAACUUUGCAAUGCGGGAAACCGUGACAAGGGAACUCUGAGUGCCCGUUAAAUCGGGCUGUCCAUCGGUUUAAAUAACCGGUGAAGAAAGGGCCGGGCAAGACCGGUGCCAGCCGCCGCGGUAAUACCGGCGGCUCGAGUGGUGGCCACUAUUACUGGGCUUAAAGCGUUCGUAGCUGGUUUGUUAAGUCUCUGGGGAAAUCUUCCGGCUUAACCGGAAGGCGUCUCAGGGAUACUGGCAGACUAGGGACCGGGAGAGGUGAGAGGUACUCCAGGGGUAGGAGUGAAAUCCUGUAAUCCUUGGGGGACCACCUGUGGCGAAGGCGUCUCACCAGAACGGCUCCGACAGUGAGGGACGAAAGCUGGGGGAGCAAACCGGAUUAGAUACCCGGGUAGUCCCAGCUGUAAACGAUGCGCGUUAGGUGUAUCGGUGACCACGAGUCACCGAGGUGCCGAAGAGAAAUCGUGAAACGUGCCGCCUGGGAAGUACGGUCGCAAGGCUGAAACUUAAAGGAAUGG